CUUCCAAAAUUGUUCCACGGCUAUGUGGACUACUUUAAUCUCCGUCGGGCGGGCCUACCGUCGGAACUCGUUCAGUUUCGCCGCCAGAGCAUAGAAAACCGUGUUGAUGGAACCGGACGGGCUUCAGAAGUCAUUUUGAUACCACUCAUGUCGAAAAUCGUACCGUUGGCGCGGUUUUUGGGGCCCACGCUGACAUACUCCCCACUACUCGCGUUUGCGAACUUGGCACAGACUUACGAGUUGUGGACAAUUUGGGUUGUUGCUCAUGAUCCAUACCAUGUGUUCAGGUUUUCCACGUUAUAUCGGGCCCGAUCGCCAAAUGACGGAGGAACUUUUCGACAUCAUUGAGGCACGUAACAAGGUAAAAGACGAGAUGCGAGACGAGGUGUGAGACAAGCACACCCGUCGUCUUCGACUUGCCCCAAUUGGGUCUCAUUUGCGCCCAUAUAUUAUCGCUAUCUUACGAUGCUCAUUUCCCUGUCCCGCAUCCCCACAAGUGACGUCCGAAGAAGAAACAUUGGGGUCUAGGGUCUUCGGAACGAGCUCCAAUCGUGAGCAGUGCUCCCGUUAAUACAUUUGAUCAUGUGACCAAGGGCUCCUUCUUCCAAUUCACUACUCGUUGCGUCUGGCUCUUGUGCCGUUGGCCCAACCCAAUCUUCGAAAUACCGCCCAAGGUCCCCAACGACAGGGUCUCAUCUUGGCUCCUUCAAAUGAUCCGCGAUUCCCGUUUAUUAUCCUGAUAUUAUGGGCCGGCGCUGUAUGGAAUACGAUACGAACAUGGGUGUGGAGGCACCACGGGUCUCGGUGGUUUGGUUGGAACGGGACGAUUUUGACUGCUGAAACCUCUUGGGAAGUUGCUUGCGACCCGGCCUCGUCUCAACGCGUACUUCAAAUUACACAUUCAACCGUUUCUGUCACGCACUAAACCCACGAUUUUGGAGACAGUCCUGUUUUCGGACACUGUGCAGACAUGACAUGCAAGGUCGACACGCUAAGAGGUUGUCUUUCGGGCCUGUCACCUAUAGCGCUACUGGACUACUGUACUGUAACUGGAUUAGUAAGAUUAGUCACGUUCAUCUCAAGUGGCUAUAACCGAAUACAAGCACUGUUUUAUGCACCCUCCUACUCCUCCCGGUGCAAUGUUGAUCCCCCACCUCCCUAUCUGGUUAGACCCGCACUAGCGCAUCUAUCCGAGAUCCACUUUUCGGCCAGGUGGAGCCUUGGAAAGGAACGCGAAGCUGGUUCGAGGCGGCGCGCACGCGUCCUUGAGCAACCGAUAGGGUUGCGACAUCUCGAGAGGCAAAUUGCUGUCUCAUUUGCACCAUUCCAUUCCGAUAUACUAUCUAUCUCAUUCUUGUAGGUCCUAGUGACUUGAUA
rnacentral:misc_RNA from 1 species